AGAAGAAUAAUAACGUGGUUGAAGUAGAACAUCUUUGGUUGAAUGAGUGGAGUCGCAAACGAUGAUGGCCGCCAUGAUAAACAAGAACUGCCAGAUACUUUGAUUCGUCAGACUAUGGCGCUAAAAUUAUAUUGGACUUUUGUGUUUCUUCUUUAUUGCAGCAGGUCGAUCUUUUGCUGAAGAUGGGCAAUAUGAAAUGGAGGAGUUUCUGAAAAGGGAGCAUUCAUUGUCAAAGCUCUAUCAAGCUCUUCCCAUUAGGAAUUGAUGGGCGACGCCAUGGUAACCACAGAGCAGGUGCGCCUCACAUCUGACAUGCAGAGCAAGCAGAGGGCAGUGUGGAGCCGCAUUGUGAGUAGCCUUUAGAACACUGCACACUGUUAUUAUGUCUACAUAAAUGAUACUUAUUCUCUCUAUGCAUAUCACAUUUUGCAUGGCUUUGUCUAAAUUGUCAUAUCUAUGUGUGUUUGUGUGUCACCUAAGGGCCUUGGAGUUACAAGUGCACUUUAAGAUUCAUAGCCAAGGAAUGAAUCAUCUUAAUGGGGAUGUACUGGCAAUUUGGUACACCAAGGAGCGCAUGCAGGAAGAUACUGUCCCAACAAUGUAGUUCCAACAGAAAUAUCAUAGCGUAGGUGCAAUGCAACUGUAUAAAUGCAUUUAUGUUGUUGUGUCGGUCCUGUGUUUGGAAACCAGGACCUCUUCACAGGGCUGGGUGUGUUGGUGGAUACGUACCCCAAUGAGGAAAAACACCUAGAGAGGAUCUACCCCUUUGUGUUGGCGAUGGUGUCUGCACCGCCAUGCUGCGCAACCACAAUCACAACACUUUCAUCUUCAUCAGAUACGUCCGCGGCCCACGAUUAUGAUUGACAUGGAUGGAGAGACUGUCUGGACAUACCGGGGGUGCGGUUGCCUCAGGACUACUACUUUGGAUCCUCUGCCAUCACAGGAGAUCUCUCUGUGGUUGAGAAUGAAGAGGGGUGGAGUAAUAUUGCCAUGUUCUUCACCAUCCUCUUCCCCAUGCUGGGCUGUUUCCUGCUCAUCGUGGUCGGCCUCAUCGUCUACAGCCACUGGAACGAGAACAGACAAACGCUUCUACUGAGAGGGAGGGAGGCCUGUCAUCAUAACCUCUAUUACUGCAGACUAAGGACAAAACUGCACUAAGACACUGAAAUGACUGACGAGACUGAAAUGAGACUCCAAAGACACUGGGCCACUGAAAUGACUGACAAGACUGAAAUGAGAACAAGACAGAGACACUGACCUCUCAAUGUAAACCAAUAUGCUGACAGACAGCGGUACCCCUGGGACAACACUAGUGAAUCCUGGGAAAGACUGAGCAGUAGAUGGAUGCAUUUAAACACUACAGCAACAAAGCACACUGACCCCUGCCAUAAGUAGAGAUAGACUGAUAUCUUUUUACUCCCUGUCCCUACCCCCACCCUCACCAACCAGGCCUUACUCUACACACAAAUGUACUGACAACGUGAAAAUUACCUGUUGUCAUAGUCCAGCGACUAAUUGUCCUCCAGGGGGGUAAUGGACAAAAUCUGAGAUGACACUAUAGCCCAAAAUACUUAUUUAGACAUGCCCUAGCUACAUGUGAAAUUUGGUGUCUUUUAUCACAAAAUACACCAUUUCCCCCACGCUGGCUACACUGGACUCUGCCAUUGCUGGUCUUUUUGAGGGUCUGGAGAGAUUGAUUUACACUGACAGAUGAGAAUGUCAAAGGGACAAAGUAUCCGAUGUGUUCUUACUCGAACAGCCCACAUGACCACGUCCCGUUAGCAGAACACUGGCAAUUGAUGCAUCACUUUUCUUCUUCGCUCUAGAAACAGCAUUAGGAUAGUUACAUGUAUGUCAUAUUUGACUCUAUGGCGCUUGCAAUCAAUGUAAGUCUUUGUGCAUUUCAAUUGAUUCAGACGGUCUCAUACUCUAUUGGGGGCUGCAGGUAGCCUAGUGGUUAGAGCGUUGGGCCAGUAACCAAAAGGUUGCUGGAUCAAGUCCCCAAGCUGAUGAGGUAAAAAUCUGUCGUUCUGCCCCUCAGCAGGGCAGUUAACCCACUGUUCCCCCGGGCACCGUGGAUGUUGAUUAAGGCAGUCCCCGCACCUCUCUGAUUCAGAGGAGUUGUGUUAAAUGCUGGAGACACAUUUGAAAGAUGGUUGCAAAUGGGUUUUAUCAUGUCUUGUCAAACAACGUACAAUAGUUACUGUUACUGAAGGUAAUUGAGGUCAUUUUAACUCAUGAUUGUCACGAUUAGGUAGUUUGUUGAUUUUAUUGUGUAUGAAACUGUGUGAAAUGGAAAGGUGAACGAUCCCUCUCCCUUCAGGUUGCAUGUUCUUAAGGGAAUUUAUUUAAAUUAGUUGCCUGUUCUUUUUAUUGUUCCUACUACCGUUUUAACUUAGUCUACAUUGUCUGUGUCUUCUAAUUUGUAUGUGUGGUAUAAUCAAAUGUGUUACUUAUGACAUGCCCAUGCUUGCACAUGCUAUCUAUAGUUAUAUAUUACAGGGCGAGUCUGAGUUUGGGACUUUCCACAGAAAGUAUUGGGUUGGUUGAUACUGCGGAAGAGAGCACAAGUGAGGUUUUUCUGCAUCUCAUGUCUUCGUGUGGUGGAAAAAAACAUUACUUUCAAGUCACAGACACUUUGUUUCACUAAGUGUUAGGCUGUGCUCCCUUUGCUUUUCUGUACUGUUUUGUUUUGUGUCAUAUUACCAAAUAGCCCUCGCCAGUAGUAUGGAUUCCAGAACAAUGUGUACAUUGCAGUUUCUCCCGGAAUCGACCUCAGAAUACAACCAAUAACGUUUCAGUAAUUUUAAGGAUUUAUAUCAUCCCUGCUCUGAAAGGGAUAGUUGGGAAAUGGGACACUGUAGAUGCAAUCCAUUAUAAUUCCACGUGUUCUGCAAUGUUUCAAGACCUUGGUGCACUGCUAUCAAUUACCAAUGCAGCCUUUUAUACCUCUUGUUAAACCACCUUGUCUCAGUGUGGGGCGGCAGGUAGCCCAGCAGUUAGAGCAUUGGGCCAAUAACUGAAUGGUUGUUAGUUAGAAUCCCUGAGCCAACUAGGUAAAAACACAUUUCUUUGAGCAAGGCACUUAAUUGCUCCCGGAUUGCUGUCAAGGGGUGUCUCAGGAGUGGGCUGUGCAAAAAUGCCUUGGGGUACUCAUUUACAUGUGAAACAGGACAAAUAAGCGCCCCCUAUUUGACAUCUUUCCACUGAGGAACGUAAAAUAGGGGAGAUUCUUUACUAUGCUGAUGAUACACUUGUUUUUGUUGGCAUUAAAGAACCUUUAGUGACA